rnacentral:misc_RNA from 1 species
UCCGGUUUAGACCGGCGGUCUCCUUAGAUAUAGCAACCAAGGACAAGGGUUGCGCUCGUUGCGGGACUUAACCCAACACCUCACGGCACGAGCUGACGACAGCCAUGCAGCACCUGAACCGCCGGUCCCUUGCGGGAAGACUCCAUUUCUGGAGCUGUCCGACGUUGUCUAGCCCAGGUAAGGUUCUUCGCGUUGCGUCGAAUUGAACCACAUGUUCCACCGCUUGUGCGGGCCCCCGUCAAUUCCUUUGAGUUUCAGUCUUGCGACCGUACUCCCCAGGCGCAGGACUUAACGCGUUAGCUACGGGACGACCCGCCUACGCGGGCCACCCCAAGUCCUGAUGGUUUAGGGCUAGGACUAC